rnacentral:rRNA from 1 species
AUGCAGACAUCUUUAGCAAGAUGCAACGAGUGCGUCGUGUACCAUAAUUGGCACCGCAAGGGUGACUGGAAAAGGCGUUUCGUCAAGAUUGUCACCGGUGAUUUUGUGGAUGUACCAAGAAAGUUCUUAGAAAAUAAUAUCAGAGGGCAGAUACCUGACGAAGUCAAUCUUGAUUUACCUAACGGUAAAACAUAUACCGUUCAGGUUGCGAAGGAAGAGAAUGGCCUCAUCUUUCAAUCUGGAUGGGCAGAAUUUGCCAGAACUUAUGAACUCGUACAGGGUGAUAUCUUAUUGUUUGAAUCCAGUGGAAGCUCCUGCUUUGAAGUUCGAAUAUUCAAUCAAACUGGCUGUGAGAAAGAGUUAUCCUGUGUUGCGAUGAAAAACGCUUCUUGUCUCGAUGAAAAGAGCAUGCCGCAUGAUAAUGAUAUGCAGUCGCCAAAAAAUGAAAGGUGUGGUAACAUGAGCGGCAAAAGUCACGCGAUAUGCAAGGUGUGUGCUGCAUUUUAUUAUUGGCACCACAUGGAUAAAAUGCGUUUCUUCAUGGUUAUGAUGGGUGUCAGUGCCUCAAAAAAUGAACUGACCAUACCAAAAGAGUUCGCAAACAAUGUCAGAGGGAAAAUAUCUGACGAAAUAAAGCUGGAAGUGCCUGAUGGACAAACAUAUAGAGUUCAGGUUGACAAGGAACCGAAUGAAGUAGUCCUUCGAUCUGGAUGGGAUGCAUUUGUUAGAGCCUAUGAACUUAAAGAGGGUGACACAUUGUUGUUUGCGUAUACUGGGAACUCCCACUUCAAAGUUCAAAUCUUCAAUGUAAGUGGUUGUGAUAAAUUGUUAUCGUGCAUCAUGAAGAAUAAUCCUAUGCGAUCACCUAGAGAAAGUAUGAAGAAACUAUGCAGUGUGCCUAGAAUGUGUUGA